GGGCCCCUCCCGGCCCUUUCCGGUUCUUUCCAGCCCAUUCUUUUCCUGCCCUGUGCUUCCGCUCGGAGGCAGAGCCGCAACCGAGAAGCCUGGGAAUGUGAACGAGGCAAGACUGCAACCAGGAAUGACUAAGCAGUCUCCACCAACAGUCCCUGCUUUCUGGAAUAUGCAGAAGGUGUGGCAAAGGCUGAAUUGGAUUAAUGAAUGCAGAUGAACCAGGGAAAAUGAAACAGUUUUUUACAUAUUACAAAAUAAAGCAUAUUACAGGGUUUCUCUGUGGCUUUGGAGCCUGUCCUGGAACUAGCUCUGUAGACCAGGCUGGUCUCGAACUCACAGAGAUCUGCCUGCCUCUGCCUCCCGAGUGCUGGGAUUAAAGGCAUGUGCCACCAUCGCCCGGCACCAUGACCAUUCCUAACAGUGACCUUUGAAGUCUCCAAAAGGAGGGUGGGACCUCCUACAAUGAUUCUACCUGGAUGUGGUAAUGCCACUAAGCUGACAAACAACACCCAAAGUUGGCUUUGGACUACAAACUUCUCAGGACAAUUUUGAGGGGGCUAGCUGAGAUGAUCCAGCCUCACAGACUACUCUAGCCAGGACUUGAGGUGACUACCGUGAAAGCAUCAUUUGGUCCCCCCAAGGGGCUGCGACCCACAAGUUGAGAACUGCUGUGUUUAAGCAAGACUGGUCAGCCACCACCUGUUCUGGCCCCCACAGUGGCUUUCAACUCUCCAGACCCAGGGUCAGAGGGGUUACCGGCUACUCUUCUACUUUUAUUUCUCAGACAGGGUCUCCAACUUGCUGUGUAGCUGAGGAUGACCUUUUCACUCCUGCUCCUCCUGUCUCCCCAGGUGCUGGGGUUACCUCAUUUGGGGGAUGCUAGGAACCCAGAGAUUCAUGCAUUCAAGGCAAGCGCCAAUUGUUAGACUACCUCUAUGUACUUUUCCAGAAAAUAUAAAGCAAUAUCCCUGGGGCUGUUGUUGACCCAGUGCA